GUAUUAGUUUGUUUUAUAUUUUCCUUUUGUUUUUAUGCAAUUAGUAAUGUACUUCAUAUAUUAUAAUUGUUUUCUUAAUUUUGUAAUCACUAUGAAAUUAGAGGGUGGGAGAGAGAGACUAACUCUGACUAUGAUAUAGGUCAAAGAUUAAUGAAAAUGUUGGGCAAUGAUGGUGUCAUCCUUAGAAAGAGCAUGAAAUUCAGUAACUUAUCACUAUGUUUAGCUAUUUGAUUCCAUGAAAUUUCAGGUCAAUUGAGCCACAAGUGAAAGGAAAAGAUUUACUCUGAUUGUGAUAUUGCUUUAAGUCCUUUCUCUUUCGGCCAAAUCAACUUAUAGAUAAAUAUUGACAAAUGGCAGGUUGUUGUUACACAGUUGUCACAAAUCACAAGAAAUAUUGGUUGGGUUUAAAAAUGUGUCUUUGUUUCAACCUAUAUGCAUUAAUUUGAAUGAUAACACACUCUAUCAAGUCUAUGAAAUUCUAUAUGUAUUUUUUUUUUUUGUGAUUUUUUAAAUUUAUGAAAUUCUAUGUCUGGUA